AACUGGCAACGCCAACAGUACUCUAGGUUUCCGAUAUAAAAGCCUGCAUUCAGUCUUGAUUGGCAGUCCGGACAGGUUGUCCAUAGCGUGGUGGAGAACCUUCACAAAUCCUACACACGACUAGGAAGGAAAGUCGUUGGAAUAUUUCAGUGAAUGGCGAGGUUGAGGAGGUCGAAAACAGGAAUAGCUGCUUGCAUCUGGAUGGGUGUCCAUAAGCACUGUUGGAAGUUGUCUUCCCUGUAGCAGGUUUUUGGUGACAUUUCCUGAUGAAUCUUUGUCUGAAGCACUCCCAAAAAAUGAUGGGAUUUAGCUUUCUUCAUGGACGUCGGCGCAAAGGAGCCAUAUCUCUUAUAUUUCUAGUCAUCUUUAUAGUAGUACUUUACUCUUUACAGAAAAAAGACCCUGCAAUGUUAGAAAUCUUAGGUGACUCUUAUUGGUUGGACUUGCUACAUUCCAGUUACUUCAUUCCCAGAAAUAGAAUAAUUAUGCCACUACAUAUUUCAUAUAUAAUUGAACCAGAAAGACACUGUAGCAGUGAAGGCUACAUUGCUGUUCUUAUUCCAAGUCACCCACAGGAUGGCUUAAGAAGAGCAGCGAUUCGGAAGACUUGGGGCUAUGCUUUGAGACAGGAAGAGUGGCCACAUGCCUUACUUAGGGCACAUGCUGACAUUUUCUUUUUACUAGGGAGAGCAUCCACCCAGCUGGAAUAUCAGUCUGUUGAGCAGGAAGCACACACACAUGAUGAUAUAAUUAUAGGUGACUUUGUUGAUACAUACAGAAACCUCUCAAUAAAAAUGUUAUUUGGGUUGAAUUGGAUUGCCAAGAACUGCGCGGAAACAAAGUUUCUUGUCAAAAUGGAUUCAGACACAUUUGUUGACUUUCCACAGCUGAUGGACCUUCUCCUGAAUAAUGA
rnacentral:lncRNA from 1 species